CCGGCGAGGGGAGUGAAAAAGAACCUGAAACCGUGUACGUACAAGCAGUGGGAGCACGCUUAGGCGUGUGACUGCGUACCUUUUGUAUAAUGGGUCAGCGACUUAUAUUCUGUAGCAAGGUUAACCGAAUAGGGGAGCCGAAGGGAAACCGAGUCUUAACUGGGCGUUAAGUUGCAGGGUAUAGACCCGAAACCCGGUGAUCUAGCCAUGGGCAGGUUGAAGGUUGGGUAACACUAACUGGAGGACCGAACCGACUAAUGUUGAAAAAUUAGCGGAUGACUUGUGGCUGGGGGUGAAAGGCCAAUCAAACCGGGAGAUAGCUGGUUCUCCCCGAAAGCUAUUUAGGUAGCGCCUCGUGAAUUCAUCUCCGGGGGUAGAGCACUGUUUCGGCA
rnacentral:rRNA from 1 species